AAUCAGUGUAAAUCUCUCCACUGUCACCUAAGAACGGCCCUGACCCGACUGACCCUAAACAUUCUCGUCAAAUCUUCAACCAAAGACUCCUGACGCCAAAGUUUAGGGGCUCUGACCGAAACAGAAAGCCUGGUCUCCUGCAUUUGGGUCCUCCAACUACACUUCCUGACAGAAUGACCUGAACACUGCGGACCCAGCAGGAGAAUUUUUGCUGCAGUGGCAGGGUUUUCUUCCACUCCAUUCCAUUCCACUCCAUGCCACGCCAGGUGGGUUUUCCUGCAGUCACGUCAAGCCACGUCCACCAAUCCUGAGGGGGACUGUUGGAGCCGUCCUUCAAGCUCCAUGUUCCUUUGGAGGGUCGCCGCGACUGCUCCUGGAUGUUCCAUGUCCCUGAGGAGAAGGUUGGGGUUCUGACACCGCUCACAUCCAUCUGGCUACAGGAGCUGUUUUCUGGACCUUUUUUGUUUUGCUUAACCCGACGUGUUUGGAAGGUUUUCCACGGCUGAGGAAGAGAGAAACCCGACUCUGACAGACCAAACAUCAAACCUGUAAGGAACAUUUAUGAUUCCGAAAUAUAGUUAGCCCCUUAGUCCAAGUGAUGUCACCAGCGACACCUUACAGGAAGGACAUAACAUAACUCCAUGACCGUUUACACCACGUGUGUCAAAAUCAAGACCUGGGGACCCGAUCCGUCCCGCGCGGUGAUAAUAUUAGGCCCUCCAUAUCAUUUUAUUUUAUUAUUAUUAACGGCCAGAUGUUAUCUUGCUAACACAUUGAAGCAAUAUUAUGGAGGCUAGG